rnacentral:tRNA from 1 species
UAAGAGUUAGUUUAAGUAAAAAUUGUUGAUUGUUGAUCAAAAGAUUAUCUCUUA